rnacentral:rRNA from 1 species
GACAGAGGAGCCAAGCGUUGUCCGGAUUGACUGGGCGUAAAGCGCACGCAGGCGGAUGCGCGCGUGGGGUGUGAAAUCUGGCCGCUUAACGGCCAGGCGCCAUCCCAUACGGCGCGUCUGGAGUGAUGCAGAGGUCGAUGGAAUUGCCGGUGUAGUGGUGAAAUGCGCAGAUAUCAGGAGGAACACCGAUGGCGAAGGCAGGUCUCUGGGCAUUAACUGACGCUGAGGAGCGAAAGCAUGGGGAGCGAACAGG